rnacentral:lncRNA from 1 species
GGAAGUGUUCUCUUCAAUUUUGGGGAAGAAUUGGAGGGGGAUUGCUGUUAGUUCUUUAUAUGUUUGUUAGAAUUCUUUACUGAAGCUUUUGUUUGUUGGGAAGGUUUUGAUUGCCAAUUCAGUCCCCUUUCUAGUUAUAGUUAUGUUCAGAUUUUUUAUUUAUUUGUGAUUCAGUAUCUAUUCUAGGUUAUGUAGUUUGUUGAGGUAUAACUAUUCAUAGUAAUCUCUUAAAAUAUUUUAAUUUCUAUUGCAUCAGUUGUAACGUCUCCUCUUUCAUGUCUUAUUUUUGUUAUUUGAGUCUUUUUUCUUUAAGGGUUUUUCUCAGUUUUGCUGAUAUUUUCAAAAAAUCCAACUCUUAGGCAUUGAGUUUUUCUGGUUUUCUUUUCUCUAUUUCAUUUAUUUCUUCCCCAAUCCUUAUUAUUCUUUCCUUCUUUAGAUUUUUUUCCCCCUUUUUUGGCUGCUCAUGGCAUAUGGAGUUCCCAGGCCAGGGAUCAGCCAAGCUGCAGUGGUAAUCUACUCUGCAGCUGUGGCAACACUGGAUCCUUAACCCACUGUGCGGGCCAGGGAUUGAAGCUGUGUUCCGGUGCUCCAGAGACACCGCCGAUCCCAUUGGGCCACAGUGGGAACUCCUGGUUUGUUCUUUUUCUAGCUCUUUGAGAUAUAAAUUAGAUUAUUUAAUUGAAAUAUUCUUUGUUUCUAAAUUUAAACAUUUACCACUACAAAUUUCCCUCUUAGUACUUACUGCUUUUGCUACAUCCCAUUAGUUUUGGCAUGUUAUAUUUUCAAAAUUGUUUGUCUCAAGAUAUUUUCUUGUGAUUCCUUAUGAUUCCUCCUUUGAUCUGUUGCCAUACUUUUAAAUUUUAACUACUCUUUUGAAUGUGGGUGAUAUCUUAUUGUGGCUUUAAAUUUGCAUUUCCCUUAUGAGUUAGUAAUGCUGUGUAUCUUUUUCUGUGGUUGUUGGUCAUAAGUAUAUCUACUUUUGUAAAUUAUCUGUUCAAAUGUUUUCCCAGUUUUUAAUUGCGUUCCUUCCUAUUUUUGAGUUUUUAAGAAUUUAUACUAGAUACAAGUUCUUCAUCAAACAUAUGAUUUGAGAAUGUUUUCUCCUAGUCUGUAGUUUGCCUUUUGAUUUUUUAAAUGGUGUCUUUCAAAGAGAAGAAUUUUAAAAUUUUGGUGAGGCUAGAUUUAUCAUGUAUUUUUAAAAUGAUGUAUGCUUUUUGUCUUAUGUCUAUAAAAUCUUUGUGUACUCAAAGAUUAUAAAUAUUUUCUUCUAGAUGUUUUAUAGUUUUAGCUUUUACAUCUGGACUGUGAUCAAUUUUGGGUUAACUUUUUUCCCCUUUUUUUCAUUUCUUUUUAAAGUUUCGUUGAAGUAUAGUUGAUUUACUGGGUUAACUUUUAGAUAUGGUGUGAGGUAAGGUUUGCGGUGCAUUUUUUUCUCUCUUUUUUUUUAGGGCUAUACUGUGGCAUUUGGAGGUUCCCAGGUUAGGGGCUGAAUUGAAACUACAGCUGCUGGCCUAUGCCACAGCCACAGCAUCGCAGGAUCCGAGUUAUGACUGCAACCUACACCACAGCCCAUGGCAAUGCUGGAUCCUUAACCUGCUAAGCAAGGCCAGGGAUCAAACUUAUAACCUCAUGGUUACUAGUCAGAUUCGUUUCUGCUGUGCCACAAUGGGAACUCUUGCGUUUUUUUCUCUUUUUUGUACGACUAGUGCCUAUUACAAUGCUUAGCAUGUAGUAAGUGCUAUACAAAUGUUUAUGAGUUUUUGCAAAAGCUCUAGAAAUACACUAAAGAAUAAUUUCUUGAAUGUUAAAAUUUCAUGCUAGAAAAGAAAUUUUCUUCUGGCCUCUGAAAUUUAAUCAUAUAAGAUGAUUUUUAUGUUUGCAAGCAAAUUAAAGGCAAAUAUAAUAGAUAUUGAUAUUUUUUAUUCUACCCACAGAGUGUUGUGCCUUAAGUGAUCGGUGUGUAGUUUCUCUUCUUGUCUCAUGUUGUGAAAUUGUUAACUAAAUCUUUAUUUUAUUCUUUGUAUAGCUUUAUGAAACUCAUGUUAACAGGAGGAAGGCAGAAGAUUGUUACUGCUAACAAAUAGAAAUUGUUCCUGCUAAUGAAAAUUAUGGGAUUGCUGUGAUAAUGAAUUGUCUAUUAUAAAUGUUGAGGUUUCUUCAUACUCUAGAUGUUAAUGUAAUUAGCUGUGUCCUAGCAAUAUUUUAUAUUGUUCAAAAGAUAAAACUACUCUGAAUAUUAAGCAUAAAUUGGACCUACAUUAGACUACUUCUGUUGUUACCAUUUAGUAAUCAUUUUCUUUUUAUAAUGAUGGAUCUUUGUAUAAGAAAAAAUAUUUUUGAAAGGCUAUUACUUGUAUCUGACAUCACCUCUAAAUUCUUCCUACUUUUUGAGCAAGGUUGAUAAAGCCAUAUAGACGUAAUAAUGAAAAUAAAUGGUCCUAAGCACACUGACAGUGGAAUUCUAACAGAAGAACAUAUGAAUGGAUGAUACCAGAUAAAUGCUAUAGCUGUCAGACAGCUCAUGGUUGUCUUUUAGUUUUAGGUGCUGUUGGUUCCUUCCUGGAGACUUCUUUGAAUUUUGCGUGUUCUCCAAAGGGUUUAUACAUUGGCACAUCAAUUGAACAGAUAUUUUUUCAAUACUAUUUAUAUUGUUUGGCAAAGUGUUGGAAUUAAGAUGUAUUAUUAUUUUUCAGCUUUAUUGAGAUAUAAUUGAAAAAUAAACUUGUAAGAUAUUUAAAGUGUACAUGAUGGUGAUUUGAUAUACAUAUACAUUGUAAAAGGAUUUCCCACCUAGUUAAUUAAUGUAUCCAUCACCUCACAUUUAUUAUUAUUAUUAUUAUUAUUAUUAAUGUCUUUUUAGGGCCACACUCAUGGCUAUGGAAGUUCACAGGCUAGGUGUUGAAUCAGAGCUACAGCUGCCAGCCUAUGCCACAGCCACAGAAACAUGGGAUCCAAGCCACGUUUGCAACCUACACUACAGGUCACAGCAACAUUGGAUCCUCAACCCACUGAGCAAGGCCAGAGCAUCCUCAUGUAUACUAGCAGGGUUCAUUACUGCUGAGCCAUGACAGGAACUCCUAUUUUUUUAUUUUUUUUUAUUUUUGACUAGAACACUUGAGUUCUUCUCUCUUAGCAAAUUUUAAUUAUAUAACACUGCAUUAUUGACUAUAGUCACUAUGUUCUACAUUAACUCCUCAGAUCUUAUUCAUCUUAUAGCUAAAAGUUUGUACCCCUUUAAGCAAUCUCUCCUUAUUUCUCCCAGACCCUGGUAAAGUUCCUUGAAUGAUUUUGUUAAUUAUUUCAUUUUUAUAGCUUUCUCUGUUCUCUUUUUCUUGAACUACUUUUAUUCAUAUAUCAAAUCUUUAGCUAAUCUUCUAGUAUUUUUCUGUCAUUUUCCUUCUUUCUUAUUCCUUAAUCUGUUUUUUUACAGUAUUUCUUCAGUUUUAUCAUCCAGGCCUUCUGUUUAGUAUUUUCGUUUCUGUCUUAUUUAUUUAUUUAC